UACGGAGGGUGCGAGCGUUGUCCGGAAUCAUUGGGCGUAAAGGGCGCGUAGGUGGCGGGACAAGCGUGCGGUGAAAGUUCGGGGCUCAACCCUGAAUCGGCCGUCGAUACUCCCGGGCUUGAGCACUGUAGAGGCAGAUGGAAUUCCGGGUGUAGCGGUGGAAUGCGUAGAUAUGCGGAGGAACACCGAUGGCGAAGGCAAUCCCCUGGACCUGUACUGACGCUCAUGCACGAAAGCGUGGGGAGCAAACAGG
rnacentral:rRNA from 1 species